AACGCACAUUGCGCCUUUUGGUAUUCCGAGAGGCAUGCCUGUUCGAGCGUCAUUUAUAAUCUCAAGCAUUGCUUGGUAUUGGAGGCCGCCCCGGUGGGGUGCCCCUGAAAAUUAGCGGCGACGUAGCCGGCUCCCUGGCGUAGUGACUGCUGUCGCCCUGGGGUCGGUCGUGCGUCCGCCGGACAACAACCAAUCUAUUGAAUCGACCUCGGAUCAGGUAGGACUACCCGCUGAACUUAA
rnacentral:misc_RNA from 1 species